rnacentral:rRNA from 1 species
UUCGUAGGGGGCUAGCGUUGUCCGGAUUCAUUGGGCGUAAAGCGCGUGUAGGCGGCCAGGUAGGUCCGUUGUGAAAACCCGAGGCUUAACCUCGGGACGCCGACGGAAACCAUCUGGCUAGGGUCCGGAAGAGGAGAGUGGAAUUCCCGGUGUAGCGGUGAAAUGCGCAGAUAUCGGGAAGAACACCCGUGGCGAAGGCGGCUCUCUGGGACGGUACCGACGCUGAGACGCGAAAGCGUGGGGAGCGAACAGG